UACAUAGGGGGCAAGCGUUAUCCGGAAUUACUGGGUGUAAAGGGUGCGUAGGUGGUUAUGAAAGUCAGAUGUGAAAACUUGGGGCUCAACCCCAAGAAUGCAUUUGAAACUAUGUAACUAGAGUACAGGAGAGGUAAGUGGAAUUUCUAGUGUAGCGGUAAAAUGCGUAGAUAUUAGGAAGAACACCAGUGGCGAAGGCGACUUACUGGACUGAAACUGACACUGAGGCACGAAAGCGUGGGGAGCGAACAGG
rnacentral:rRNA from 1 species